UGCGGCUGCCUCGUGUGCGCUCUCCUGCAUCUCGCGCGGGAGCGAGUGGUGGUGACUAGCAUAGAAGGCGGAGGAGGUCAUUGGGGCCGGCUUCCCUUCCGUUUUGGCUGCCAAGCUCCACGCGUUGCUGAGUCCCUCUCUCUAUCCCUCUACAUCUCUCCCUCUCUCUGUCAGAGGGCAGCUGCCGCCCCGAGGUGCAGGCGGCCAUGGAAAAGCACAAGAUGCCACACCUGGCUUUCCCCCUUGCCUCCUGCCCUUUCUCUUCAGCUCAUCUAUUUACAUGUGCAAAUACUUUUUUAUCUAUGCCUGCAAGGUGUUUGAUGAAAGUUCAGUAAGGCUGUGAGGGAAUACCAAACGAGAGAGGAUCCAGUAUCUGUUACAUGCAUCAGAUAUAGAUUGCAGUCAAGACACCUGCUCCCUCGUCAUCGACGGAAGGAGGAGAGCAGCAGCCACAACAGGCGACGGUGCUGGCGAAUGCGUCAGACAUGAGUCGCUUCGGCUUCUUCCAGCGGCCCAGCCAUGACGCCCUCAAGCCGCCGAUAGCAGCGGCCCUCUCCCAAGCUACACUGCUCCUGAUCUUCGUCGCCCCACACCGUCGUACUAUGCACAGCUCAGCCUGGCCAUGAUGCUCUUAGCCCGCGGACGCUCACAGCGUAACCGACGGUGGCGACUCACUCCCAACCCGUGUUGCUCUCCAUCAGUGCUGACGGAUUAGUUUGUUUUACAGUGUGGGCACCAGGUCUCUGAGUAGUUUAAAUCUGAACGCAACACCAAGGCUGCCAGCCUGAGCAUUGCCGAACAGUACAGCAAAGCAUUUUCUGAACUUGCUAAAAGCAAACAUGGAAGCUCUCCCUAAUUCAUUGAUUAAAGGUGGCUCACAUAGAUCGUUCUCUUACUGACUAAUUAAUUAGAUUAUGGAUUUUCUUUAUGUUAUUAUUACUGAUCUCAGAUGCUUAGUUUCCAAGUUUAUCUCAAAACUUCACCUUCUAUGAAUGCCCCCAGGUGGUGCAUAUCUAAAAGCUCUUUGUGCAUUCUUAAGAUUUUUGUAUAUGCAUUUGCGUGAAUUGAGCCCGGAUCUGAUCUGGUUUGGCUAUGUUCAUGGUUUUCUUUGGUCAUGUAUGAGUGGAAAAGGGAGGCAGGGGAGUUCCAGUUUGUGAGGACAGUGGCGACAUGGUUGACUGAAUGGCAAUAGGAAGAAGGCACAUCUCAUAUAAUUGUUUUAUUCAAGACAAGUCUACACUCUCUUAUGUCAAAUUUGCACAGAUUUCCC
rnacentral:rRNA from 1 species